UACGGAGGGUGCAAGCGUUAAUCGGAAUUACUGGGCGUAAAGCGUGCGUAGGUGGUUCGUUAAGUCCGUUGUGAAAGCCCCGAGCUCAACUUGGGAAUUGCAGUGGAUACUGGCGAGCUAGAGUGCGGUAGAGGAAGGUGGAAUUCCCCGGUGUAGCGGUGAAAAUGCGUAGAGAUCGGGAGGAACACCAGUGGCGAAGGCGGCCCUUCUGGACCAGCACUGACACUCAAAGCACGAAA
rnacentral:rRNA from 1 species